rnacentral:lncRNA from 1 species
GUGGGGGCAUGAGGGCGCUGGAGUGAGGAACAGAUUGGAGCCUUCCCACUUCCUCUCCAAUCUCAGCCCCCGGGAGGAGGGGUGAGGCCCUCGAGGGGGCCCGGAGUUAAGGAGGAAUAGACCGUUUCUCUCUCUCCUGUCUCCCCCGCCUCUGCCCGUCUUCCCUCUAAGCCGGCCUCUAGGUGCAGAGGCUGACGUCCAGGAUGGGGACCGGGGAAGCCUCUGGAGGGUAUAUCCGGGAAGGCACCAAGGCUGAAAAAGAUGCAGUCUAGCACCUCAGUUAAGAAUAUGGACUCUAAAGUCAGACUGCCAGGCUUCAAAUUCCAGUUCUGCGACCUCAGCAAAGUUACUUAACCAAGCUCUCAGUGCCUUGUUUUCUUCAUCUGUAAAAUGAGGAUGACGUCACAGCAUUGUUGAGAGAAUUAAUACAGGCUCCAGACUUGUGAAUGGAGAAGUGUUGAGGUGACCCCAGCUCCAGCCACCAGCUGACGACAACCAUACCGGAGAUCCUGAGAGCUGCCUAGCUGACCCCAGGCACCCCCCAGACUUCAUGUAAGCUGUUUGAAGCCGAGGACUUUGUCUGUUUUGUUCACUCCCAAUAGAUUCAGCACUUAGAAGAAUGCCAGGCAGGCUUUCCCCACCAACCAAGAUGGAAUAACAGGGAAAAGACAUACCCUUCUAUCUUCAAUAAUUGGAAACCCAGACAAAGUUUAUGAAACGCUGGUUUUCAAGACAUAGGACAUCAGACAAUCAAGGACAGUAAACACUGAGAUGGGAAACAAACAAGCCAAAAACUGGAAACAGCCCAAAUGUCCAGCAACAAAAGAAUGGAUAAACAAAUUGUGGUAUAUUUACUACCUAGCAGUUGAAAGAAAUAAACCUCUGACACACACAAGCUGGAUUAAAAAAGAAGAGGAAAUGAAUUAUUGAUACAUAUAAUAAAGAUUACUCUCAAAAUAAUUAUGGUAAGUCAAAGAAGUCAGACCAUGCUCCCUAAGAGUAUAUACUUCAUGAUUCAAUUUCUGUACAAUUCUAUAAAAUGCAAAUUAAUAUAUGAUAACAAAAAGUGAUUGCCUGGAAAUGGUGAGAGGACAGAGGGGCCAGAAUCAGCCAGGAUUACAAAGAUGCACAAGGAAACUUUUGAGGGUGGUGGAUAUCUUGAGUGUGGUGAUAGUUUUACAGUUGUAUGCCUAUGUUAGAAGCUAUCAAAUUGUACACUUUAAGUAUGUACACUUUGUUGUAUAUUAAUUAUGCCUUAAUAAAGUUAUUAUAAAAAGUAGUUCCAGGCAAUACUAGACACUCAAUAAACAUUUGUAAACUAGUCGUUGACUUUCUUGGACUGUGACUUGUUAGCAGUUAGGGAUUGAUUAUUCUGUACAUGUUUAUGU